rnacentral:rRNA from 1 species
GUCGAGAAUCUUUCACAAUGGGGGCAACCCUGAUGGAGCGACGCCGCGUGGAGGAUAAGGUCUUCGGAUUGUAAACUCCUGUCAUGCGUGAACAAGGUUGCUUGGAUAAUACCUGAGCAAAUUGAUGGUAGCGCAAGAGGAAGAGACGGCUAACUCUGUGCCAGCAGCCGCGGUAAUACAGAGGUCUCAAGCGUUGUUCGGAAUCACUGGGCGUAAAGGGUGCGUAGGUGGCGUGGCAAGUCAGAUGUGAAAGCCCGGGGCUCAACCUCGGAACUGCAUCAGAUACUGCCAUGCUAGAGUACUGGAGGGGUGACUAGAAUUCUCGGUGUAGCAGUGAAAUGCGUAGAUAUCGAGAGGAAUACCAAAGGCGUAGGCAGGUCACUGGACAGUUACUGACACUGAGGCACGAAGGCCAGGGGAGCGAACGGGAUUAGAUACCCCGGUAGUCC